AGAAUGACUCUCGGCAACGGAUAUCUAGGCUCUUGCAUCGAUGAAGAACGUAGCGAAAUGCGAUACUUGGUGUGAAUUGCAGAAUCCCGUGAACCAUCGAGUCUUUGAACGCAAGUUGCGCCCGAUGCCAUUAGGUUGAGGGCACGUCUACCUGGGUGUCACAU
rnacentral:rRNA from 2 species